UCUGGGAGUUGGUGAUGGACAGGGAAGCCUGGUGUGCUGCAGUUCAUGAGUUUGCAUAGAGUCAGACAUGACUCAGCCACUGAAAAACAAUAACAGACGUAAACAUAUAAUCAGCAACUAUAUAGACCUUAGAAAAUAAAAUGGAUAACUAUUCAUGACCCUGGACAGGCAUAGGUUCUUAGAGAUGAUCCAAAAAGUACAAGACAUAAAAUUUGAAAAAUUGGUAAAUAUUGGAGUUUUUGAAAAUUAGUUAUUCUGCUUGUCAAAGUCAUGAUCUUAAAAAAAGAAAUGUAAAUCACAGACCAUGUACUUUUUGAAAAUGUUAGUCUGAUCACAGGAGGGGACAAAGGAAAGGCUUAGAAAAAAAGCAAGGUUUAUUAUACACCUAGGCCAGGGACAGGAGGCAUGGCCCACCAUGCGGGGUCACACGGGGGACACAGCUGGGUGGUCAGGAGGCAGAAGACAGCAUAAGGAGGAAGGUUAAACUACUGCCUUUAUUGGCAUUUCUGCAGGAAACUCUGAAUUAAGUGGUUUAUAUGAAUAAGUUGGAGUUCUUAUAAUAGAUAAAUCUUUACCAUGUAAAGAUGGAAAUCACAGGAGAAUUCUCAAGGCAAGAAUUCUCUAAUAUUUCGAACCCAAGCUAUCUUACUUUCAGUAAUCUCAUUUUAAGUCUUUCUGGCCUCUCUUCUUUCUUGAAAUAACAAGUGCUAUAUAAUAGGAUGCUUUAUUGUUUUCUUGUUGCUUUCUUGGUUUUCCUCAUUUUGAAAAUCAACGUCCCCAUUUCUGAACUGCAUACAACUAAGUGCUGUUUUUCUCUCAGUUGUUAACAAUUCCCUGGUAUUAAAAUAUUCCACUGACAAAUUGAUCUGCAGUUUGAUUUGAAAUAUCUUUUUGCUAUCUUCUCAGAAAAAGAAUCGGACAUUUCUGACUUGCAUUUGUCUUACUUAAAACAUGUAUUAAAGAAGAAAUAUAUGAAGUAAUCUGAAAAAAGAAAGAAUAGUUUUCAGUUAUAAACUUCAUGCUCAUGAAAUGAUGAAUCUAUGAUCUAUAAGGCAAAAUUAAAA
rnacentral:lncRNA from 1 species